GAUGAACGCUGGCGGCGUGCCUAAUACAUGCAAGUCGAGCGAACAGAUGAGGAGCUUGCUCCUCUGACGUUAGCGGCGGACGGGUGAGUAACACGUGGAUAACCUACCUAUAAGACUGGGAUAACUUCGGGAAACCGGAGCUAAUACCGGAUAAUAUAUUGAACCGCAUGGUUCAAUAGUGAAAGACGGUUUUGCUGUCACUUAUAGAUGGAUCCGCGCCGCAUUAGCUAGUUGGUAAGGUAACGGCUUACCAAGGCAACGAUGCGUAGCCGACCUGAGAGGGUGAUCGGGCACACUGGAACUGAGACACGGUCCAGACUCCUAAGGGAGGCAACAGUAAGGAAUCUUCCGCAAUGGGCGAAAGCCUGACGGAGCAACGCCGCGUGAGUGAUGAAGGUCUUCGGAUCGUAAAACUCUGUUAUUAGGGAAGAACAAAUGUGUAAGUAACUAUGCACGUCUUGACGGUACCUAAUCAGAAAGCCACGGCUAACUACGUG
rnacentral:rRNA from 1 species